rnacentral:rRNA from 1 species
UACGGAGGGUGCAAGCGUUAUCCGGAUUCACUGGGUUUAAAGGGAGCGCAGGCGGGCUUGUAAGUCUGUGGUGAAAUCUCCGAGCUUAACUCGGAAACUGCCAUGGAUACUAUAGGUCUUGAAUGUUGUGGAGGUAAGCGGAAUAUGUCAUGUAGCGGUGAAAUGCAUAGAUAUGACAUAGAACACCUAUUGCGAAGGCAGCUUACUACGCAAAUAUUGACGCUGAGGCUCGAAAGCGUGGGGAUCAAACAGG